rnacentral:rRNA from 1 species
AGCAGCCGCGGUAAUUCCAGCUCCAAUAGCGUAUAUUAAAGUUGUUGCAGUUAAAAAGCUCGUAGUUGAAUUUCGGGGUUAGCAAGUUGGUCGUGCCUUUGGUAUGCACUGGCUUUGCUGAUUCCUCCUUCUUGAAGAACUGUGAUGCUAUUAAUUUGGUGUUGCAGGGAAACAGGACUGUUACUUUGAAAAAUUAGAGUGUUUAAAGCAGGCUAACGCUUGAAUACAUUAGCGUGGAAUAAUGAAAUAGGACGUUCGAUCCUAUUUUGUUGGUUUCUAGGAUUGACGUAAUGAUUAAUAGGGAUAGUUGGGGGCAUUAGUAUUCAAUUGUCAGAGGUGAAAUUCUUGGAUUUAUUGAAGACUAACUACUGCGAAAGCAUUUGCCAAGGAUGUUUUCAUUAAUCAAGAACGAAAGUUAGGGGAUCGAAGACGAUCAGAUACCGUCGUAGUCUUAACCAUAAACUAUGCCGACUAGGGAUCGGAUGAUGUUAAUUUUUAAUGACUCAUUCGGCGCCUUAAC